GAGUUAAUUGUCAAGUUAAUGUCUGCAAGAGGGCAUAUUCCACCAUCUUUAGAGGGACGUGUUGUACAAGCUCGUGGGUUGAUGCGACAUGAUCCAUUUCCUCCUGGCCACCAGCCAUUGGACAGAGCUGCUCCUCCAAAUCUUUUAGAGAAUAAGAUUGCUUCUCAGGCAGCUGAGAUUGAACAAUUCGCAGAGGAUAAUCGUAGAUUGGCUAAUGCCCACAUAGCCUUGAGGCAGGACCUUGUUGCUGCACAGCAGGAAGUGGAAAGACUUAAGGCACACAUAAGAAGCAUCCAUACUGAAAGUGAUAUCCAGAUUAGGGUUUUAUCAGAUAAGACUGCAAAAAUGGAAUCAGAAAUAAGGGCUGGUGAGAAUGUGAAGGAGGACCUCAAACAGGCACAUAUGGAGGCACAAAGCCUGGUCAAAGCUGGACAAGAGCUGACUACCCAAAUCCAGAAGGCCUCCCAGGAAUUGCAGAAAGCUCGUACUGAUGUUAAGACUGUACCAGAUUUGCAUGCUGAGCUUGACAAUUUGAGGCAUGAACACAAGAGGUUGCGGGCUACAUUUGAGUAUGAGAAAGGUGUAAACAUAGAAAAGGUGGCACAACUGCAAGCAGCGGAAGAGAAUUUAAUUGGGAUGGCAAGAGAAGUGGAAAAGUUGCAUGCUGAGGUCUUGAACGCUGAAAAGAAAGCACGUGCAUCAAACACCUAUGGCAGUGGGUUCGUGACUCCCGAUCCUUCGUACCCGGCCCCCGUACAUGGUGGUGGUGUCUAUGUUGAUGCAUAUGGAAGGCCUCUUGUUCAGAUGAGUGUUGGGCCACUAGUAAAUAGUGCAGCAAUCACCGGUGCAAUUGGUGGUACAGCUGUCUCUAGUGCUGGUGGUGUUGCUGUCUGGGGAGGGCCUUAUGCUCCAUCAUUUUCUCAGAAAUGAGCAUGAAGCAUAUUUUGUCAGUGGCUGUCAGUAGGCCUUAUGUCUAGCAUUAUGGGCUAACUAUAGUGCCAUUUUGUGCGUGAAUUGCUAGUUGGUGAAUUUGGUGAAAGCUUCCAUGAGAGGCUGUUUCGUAAGCUUCCACUAAUGCUUUGCAUUUCUAAGAUGCAUUGUGUUGGAGUUAACUUUAUUGUAUAUUAUUAGUUUUCUUUGGGCAUCUUUAUUACUGCGUGAAUAUUUUAUCUACAUAAUAAAAAUAUAUGAAAAUUAAAUUUGAUUAAUCAGUGAAGGAGAGGGAUAAAGGGUGAAGCAGUGAAGGUGAAGAAGAAAAGGCCUUGUUGCAGGCAGUA
rnacentral:misc_RNA from 1 species